rnacentral:rRNA from 1 species
UGGGGAAUAUUGGACAAUGGGGGCAACCCUGAUCCAGCAAUGCCGCGUGUGUGAAGAAGGCCUUCGGGUUGUAAAGCACUUUAGGCUGGGAAGAAGGUGGCUAGUUUAAGAGAUGAGCUAUUUGACUGUACCAGCAGAAUAAGCACCGGCUAACUCUGUGCCAGCAGCCGCGGUAAUACAGAGGGUGCAAGCGUUAAUCGGAUUUACUGGGCGUAAAGGGCGCGUAGGCGGUUGUUUAAGUGAGAUGUGAAACCCCUGGGCUUAACCUAGGACGUGCAUCUGAAACUGAAUGACUAGAGUACUGUAGAGGGUAGUGGAAUUUCCGGUGUAGCGGUGAAAUGCGUAGAGAUCGGAAGGAACACCAGUGGCGAAGGCGGCUACCUGGACAGAUACUGACGCUGAGGCGCGAGAGCGUGGGGAGCAAACAGG